rnacentral:rRNA from 1 species
UACGUAGGCAGCGAGCGUUGUUCGGAAUUACUGGGCGUAAAGAGUGUGUAGGCGGUGCUCUAAGUUCGGUGUGAAAUCUCCUGGCUUAACUGGGAGGGUGCGCCGGAAACUGGGGUGCUCGAGCGUGGGAGAGGAAAGCGGAAUUCCUGGUGUAGCGGUGAAAUGCGUAGAUAUCAGGAGGAACACCUGUGGUGUAGACAGCUCUCUGGACCAUUGCUGACGCUGAGACACGAAAGCGUGGGUAGCAAACAGG